GGAGGGGUUCCCGAGUUGGCCAAAGAGGGCAGACUGUAAAUCUGCUGGCACUGCCUUCGAAGGUUCGAAUCCUUCCCCCUCCACCA
rnacentral:tRNA from 1 species